UCUAAAAUGGCAGACAAGUGCAUUGAGUCUAAGCCUCAAAAAUAAGAUAUUAUAUCUUUUUUAGAA
rnacentral:tRNA from 1 species